AGCGGCGGACGGGUGAGUAACGCGUGGGUAACCUGCCUCAUACAGGGGGAUAACAGUUGGAAACGGCUGCUAAUACCGCAUAAGCGCACAGUACCGCAUGGUACCGUGUGAAAAACUCCGGUGGUAUGAGAUGAACCCGCGUCUGAUUAGCUAGUUGGUGGGGUAACGGCCUACCAAGGCGACGAUCAGUAGCCGACCUGAGAGGGUGACCGGCCACAUUGGGACUGAGACACGGCCCAA
rnacentral:rRNA from 1 species